CCUACGGGCGGCAGCAGUGGGGAAUAUUGCACAAUGGGGGAAACCCUGAUGCAGCGACGCCGCGUGAGUGAAGAAGUAAUUCGGUACGUAAAGCUCUAUCAGCAGGGAAGAAAAUGACGGUACCUGAGUAAGAAGCCCCGGCCAACUACGUGCCAGCAGCCGCGGUAAUACGUAGGGGGCAAGCGUUAUCCGGAUUUACUGGGCGUAAAGGGAGCGUAGACGGUUCGGCAAGUCUGGAGUGAAAUGCCGCAGCUUAACUGCGGAACUGCUUUGGAAACUGGCGAACUAGAGUGCGGGAGAGGUAAGUGGAAUUCCUAGUGUAGCGGUGAAAUGCGUAGAUAUAAGGAGGAACACCAGUGGCGAAGGCGGCUUACUGGACCGUAACUGACGUUGAGGCUCGAAAGCGUGGGGAGCAAACAGGAUUAGAUACCCCGGUAGUC
rnacentral:rRNA from 1 species